GGCGCUGUGGCGGAGUGGUCUAACGCGUUAGACUGUGAGUAUCUCUCAACAACAUCUGUUCCCACCUUCAUACUAACUCGGUUUCCUCAGCGAAAUCUAAUUCCUUCGGGAGCAUCGGUUCGAAUCCGAUCGGCGUCG
rfam:Nectria haematococca mpVI 77-13-4 chromosome 9 genomic scaffold NECHAsca_27_chr9_1_0, whole genome shotgun sequence.